ACUAAUUUCACUUAUUCUUCUCUCUCUCACCCCAGAGCGUAAACUCUUCCGCCACAAAUGUCAAGUUUAAGUGUAAAAUCUUCCGCCACAAACGACAAGUUUAAGCGACGUUUCUAACAAAUCUGAUGAGGUGGUUAUUCUGAAGAAGCAUUUAUCAAGUGGCUAAUUGCAGUAAAGUAGCUGAUCAUAUAAAGAGUUUUAUAGAUCUAUAAGGAUAUCAACUUUGAUGGUGAAGCUGUGACGAGAUGAACAGAGCUUGCGGCGAAAAGGUGUUUUCGGCGAGCAUUGAAGACUUAUCAAACACAACACACGUGGAUACACAUGUGUCCUAAAAUUGGAUUUUUAUUAUGUAGAAUAUUCUACAAUAUUUUUCUUUAUUUUGAUAAUAAUUAAAAGUCCAGUUUGUUGGGCUUAUUCCGUGAACCAAUUUUAGCAGCCUUAAUGGGCUUUCCAUUACAAGGAAUUUAACC